GAUGAACGCUGGCGGCGUGCCUAAUACAUGCAAGUCGAGCGAACAGACGAGGAGCUUGCUCCUCUGACGUUAGCGGCGGACGGGUGAGUAACACGUGGAUAACCUACCUAUAAGACUGGGAUAACUUCGGGAAACCGGAGCUAAUACCGGAUAACAUGUUGAACCGCAUGGUUCAACAGUGAAAGACGGUCUUGCUGUCACUUAUAGAUGGAUCCGCGCCGCAUUAGCUAGUUGGUAAGGUAACGGCUUACCAAGGCAACGAUGCGUAGCCGACCUGAGAGGGUGAUCGGCCACACUGGAACUGAGACACGGUCCAGACUCCUACGGGAGGCAGCAGUAGGGAAUCUUCCGCAAUGGGCGAAAGCCUGACGGAGCAACGCCGCGUGAGUGAAGAAGGUCUUCGGAUCGUAAAACUCUGUUAUUAGGGAUGAACAAAUGUGUAAGUAACUAUGCACGUCUUGACGGUACCUAAUCAGAAAGCCACGGCUAACUACGUG
rnacentral:rRNA from 1 species